rnacentral:rRNA from 1 species
ACUCCUACGGGAGGCAGCAGUGAGGAAUAUUGGACAAUGGGCGAAAGCCUGAUCCAGCCAUGCCGCGUGAGUGAUGAAGGCCCUAGGGUUGUAAAGCUCUUUCAUUGGUGAAGAUAAUGACGGUAACCAAAGAAGAAGCCCCGGCUAACUUCGUGCCAGCAGCCGCGGUAAUACGAAGGGGGCUAGCGUUGUUCGGAAUCACUGGGCGUAAAGCGCGCGUAGGCGGAACUGUAAGUCAGAGGUGAAAGCCCGGGGCCCAACCCCGGAAUUGCCUUUGAAACUACAGUUCUAGAGUCUCGGAGGGGGUAGCGGAAUUCCUAAUGUAGGGGUGAAAUCCGUAGAUAUUAGGAGGAACACCGGUGGCGAAGGCGGCUACCUGGACGAGAACUGACGCUGAGGUGCGAAAGCGUGGGUAGCAAACAGGAUUAGAUACCCUGGUAGUCCACGCCGUAAACGAUGAGUGCUAGUUGUUGGUCCCUUAGGGAGCAGUGACGCAGCUAACGCAUUAAGCACUCCGCCUGGGAAGUACGGCCGCAAGGUUAAAACUCAAAGGAAUUGACGGGGACCCGCACAAGCGGUGGAGCAUGUGGUUUAAUUCGAGGCAACGCGAAGAACCUUACCAGCUCUUGCAUCUCGGUCGCGGAUUGUGGAGACACUUUCCUUCAGCUUGGCUGGACCGAUGACAGGUGGUGCACGGCUGUCGUCAGCUCGUGUCGUGAGAUGUUGGGUUAAGUCCCGCAACGAGCGCAACCCUCAUCCUUAGUUGCUACCAUUUAGCUGAGCACUCUAGGGAAACCGCCGGUGUUAAACCGGAGGAAGGUGGGGACGACGUCAAGUCAUCAUGCCCCUUACGGGCUGGGCUACACACGUGCUACAAUGGUGGUGACAGAGGGAUAAUCCCUAAAAACCAUCUCAGUUCGGAUUGUCGUCUGCAACUCGACGGCAUGAAGUCGGAAUCGCUAGUAAUCGCAGGUCAGCAUACUGCGGUGAUACGUUCCCGGGUCUUGUACACACCGCCCGUCACACCAUGGGAGUUGUUUCUGCCUUAAGUCGGUGAGCCAAUCAGGCAGCCGCCCACGGUAGGAGCAGCGACUGGGGUGAAGUC